GUACAUAAGUGCUUGCGCACGACAAUAAUUUCAUUACAUUCGAGUGUGUAUGUAGAAAAUCCUCUGCCAGCCGUGAAGCUAGCAAGAGGCCAAGGGUUCACAAGGGUAUUGGAAUGAAAGUCACCGACGUGCACUUGCUUGCAAGAGCCAGCCAGCACAGAAGGCAACAGUUUACAAUCAAUAAUGAUCCUUCCGCAGGUUCACCUACGGAAA
rnacentral:misc_RNA from 1 species